rnacentral:rRNA from 1 species
AACCGUGCAAAGGUAGCAUAAUCACUUGCCUAUUAAUUGUAGGCUAGAAUGAAAGGGUUAACGAAAUAAAGACUGUCUCAAUUAAUUACCUAAAAAUUAUUAUUUACCUGAAGAAAGGUAGAUAAACUCGAAGGACAAGAAGACCCUAUAGAGCUUAAUUUUAUUUAUAGAUUUAUACUAUAAACAAUAUUCGGUUGGGGCGACCCUGGGCUCAAUAAUCACCCAAUAAAUAAAAGAUAUCUUAAUCUAAUAAAUGACCCUUUAAAGAUCAAGAGACCAAGCUACCUUAGGGAUAACAGGCUAAUCCCACUCAAGAGUCCUUAUCAACAGUGGGGUUUGGCACCUCGAUUUGGCUUAGGGUAUCUAUAUAGCGCAAAAGUUAUAUAAAGAUGGUUUGUUCAACC